rnacentral:lncRNA from 10 species
UACAGCAUGAGUACUUCCUCCUGCACAUUUGAGGGAGACACAGCAAUCAAUAUACGGAAGAAGUACAUUGGUUCGGAGACACAUCAAUCAACAUAUGGACGAAGUACAUGGGUUCGGUCUGGAAAGGCGGGACAACUUGAAGCAAAGGCAGGAAGACUCCAAGCAGGGAGGGAGCUUCCCGGUUUCAGCUUCUACUCCUGCCUUGAAAAAUUCUUGCCUGCAAACCAUUUGGGAGGCCAGGAUUUGAAGAUGAGCUGUCUGGUCCUGCUUGUUUGGCACCCUGAAAAUAAAUGACUUCCUUUCUGCCACUGCAACCUCAGUGUGGAUAUCUGGUUUUACUGUGUUGGACCUUGCCUACCACACUUUCUAAAUGGAGAUGUAGUCCCAGUUGUAUUUCUACUGUUCAGAGAGCGAACAGGCAUCCGUCUCCAACUACAAACUAUACACUUGUGCUACGUGACUGAGAACAGCAUGUGGAUGCAAGUUCACCUUGGAAUUCCACCACAAUGAAGCUGUUUGUGAGCCGCUUUCUGCUUAAAGAACACUUUAAGUUUCCUCAGUAAACAUCUUUUCAUAAUGUGAAGGUCCCAGUGUGUGUUGUGCCCCCACCCUCCAUGUUUCCAUGUGUUCUCAGCACAGAAUGGGCGUUUGAAGGAAGACUUUGAAGAAGAAAAUGGGAAUGAUUUCCAAUGAAGAAGUUGAACCCCUGAGGAAUAAAGUAACUUGCCCAUGGUUACAUAGACAGUAAAAGUUAGCCGAAGACACAGGUCUUUUGCUUUCAGAUUCAGUAAAGGUCUCAUUACAUUAUCCCACUACUCAUAAUGUAAAAUAAUGUGUUUGAUAUUUUCUAGUAUUCAUGUUAUGAUGAAAUAAUCCCUUGGUAAGUAAAAUUUUCCAUACAGGCAGUCAGUCUGCCUCUGUUAGCCUUAUUCUUUUCCCUUGAAAUUCAGAGGAAAAUUUUAAAGGUAAGAAACUGAAACACAUAUUUUGGUCCUUAUAUUGUCAGUGUUUCUACAUAAGGAAAACAAUGUGACUAAAACAGAUGACAUCUAUUAUUGGAUUUCCACUCAAUAAAAUGUUUAUUUUCUCUAAUCAACUCCACUUUUUUUUUCUGCCCAUUAGUGUUAUCCAAGUAAUACAUCACGUAAGGACACCAUUAAGUAGAAUGCCUGUCUGUAUCUACAGAAAAUGAGCAGAUGGUUGGUUCCUCAAACAUUUAAAAUAAAGACAAAUGUAGUCUUGGGUUUAGGGGUGAGACAGUGGCAGGCAGGACACUUGGGAUGAAAUGUAUAAUGACGUUGUACUCCACACUCCCUGCAUGUUUACAAUGUACUAUAGAUGUGAAAGUUAAUGCAC